AUUGGACCGAGCUAGAGAAGAUUGACAGCUUAGAUGAUUUGCAGCAACUAGAAAAUUCACUAAGAAAAAUCUUUGUAUCAAAUCGGUGCUCAUAAGGUGAAUAUGCUGCAAGUGCAACAUCAGCAGGAUCAAUUUAUGUCCUCGGAAUGCAUAAAUCAGUUGCAUAUUGAAAUAGAUCUAGAUUUACAGAAAGUAUGAGCAAGCAGUCGACUCCCCGCUUGGAUCAGACUA